rnacentral:ncRNA from 1 species
CUGACCUUAAAUGCCAGAAAUCUAUUGCCUAACGGGCAAAGAUCCGCGCGUAAGGUACAAAGGGACAUGUAUCCCUGCUCCCGGCGACACCGGGAAGCAAAAGAAUGAAUUGCCGUGAAGGCUGCUUGUAAAAUUGAUGAAGGCUGUCACGCACGG